rnacentral:lncRNA from 1 species
AGACAAACACAUGACAAGUGCAUGGCUCUGAUGAUAAUGAAUGCUAUGGUGAAAUGCAAAGCAGGGAGUAAGGGCAGAGUGAUGGCAGAGACAGUGAGGUACUAUUUGAAAUAGGGUACUCAGGGAAGGCCUCUGAGGAAAGGUGUUUGAGCAUAGAUCCUGAAUGGAGUGAGGGAAUAAGGAGUUUGGAUAUUUGGGGCAGGGACACGUUAUGAAAGAUCCCAAGGUAGGAAUGUGUUUGAGGGUUUGAGCAGAAGAAUAGGGUGAUUUAAUUUUUAUUUUAAAAGGAUCAAAUUUAUCUCCCCACAGGGAGAUAAAUUAGAAAACUGCAGUGAGGGGGAAGAGGAUUCAAGAUGGAGCCAUAAGAACAACUCAGGAUUGCAGCUCUCAGUGAACGUGCAGAGGGUGAGUGGAGAAAAGAAUAAAGAAACCCAUAUUUCUUGAACUUCUCUGGCAACUAGCAGUGGUACCAAAUACAGUCUUUAGAAUUUCCAGAGUCUCAUUCUGUCACUCAAGUUGGAAUGCAGUGGCACGAUCUGGGCUCACCACAACCUCCACCUCCUGCCUCAGCCUCCUCAGUAGCUGGGAUUACAGGGAAAUUGAUGCUGAGGAGAGUCAAGUACAAUGAAUAUGUGGAGGUUUGAAAGAAUCAAGUUCGGAUUCCCAAUCAGUGCUCUUUCUGCGUCACAAUUCUGUUGAUAUUUUCUGUGCUGGGAACUUAAUAAAUACUGUUCUAAUGA